rnacentral:tRNA from 1 species
GCGUCGGUGAGCGGAAUUGGUAUCGCAGCGGUCUGUAAAAUCGUGGUUGGGGAGACCUAACAUUUCUGGUUCAAGUCCAGAGCGGUGCA